rnacentral:lncRNA from 1 species
ACCCCUACGCACCCACCCACGCACCCACCCAGUUCAAUCGGCUCCCUUGAACCAAGUCCAAAAGUACCUGACAGAAACGAGAGCAACUGCACUGUUAAGGUUAAAUCCCUUAAAUGCAUCUCAAGGUUUAAGGGUAGUACCUUGUUCGAGUCAAGAUCCGGAUACUAAAUUCAUGCCCACCUCUACAUCCUCCCCGGAAGAGAGAUCUGAAGGAAUUGUUGAGAGAGAGAGGAAAUUAACAGAAUAUUUUGUAGAUUAAUGAAGGAUGUUUUGAAGAAGCAAGAGGAUUUACAGAACAAGUACUUAGAAGCCAUAGAGAAAUAUGAGAAGGAUCAAAUAGCAAGAGAUGAAGCAUGGAAGGUACAAGAAAUGGCUAGAAUAAAGAGAGAACAAGAUUUUUUAGCCCAAGACCGAGCAAUUUCUGCUGCAAAGGAUGCAGUUGUGCUUGCAUUUUUGCAAAAGAUCUCGCAGCAUUCAACGAAUCUGCAAAUGUUAGGGGGUGGGUGGGUGGGUGGGUGGGUGGUGAAUGGAGUAGAA